rnacentral:rRNA from 1 species
UACGUAUGGAGCAAGCGUUAUCCGGAUUUACUGGGUGUAAAGGGUGCGUAGGUGGCAGUGCAAGUCAGAUGUGAAAGGCCGGGGCUCAACCCCAGAGCUGCAUUUGAAACUGCAUAGCUAGAGUACAGGAGAGGCAGGCGGAAUUCCUAGUGUAGCGGUGAAAUGCGUAGAUAUUAGGAGGAACACCAGUGGCGAAGGCGGCCUGCUGGACUGUUACUGACACUGAGGCACGAAAGCGUGGGGAGCAAACAGG